GGAGACGUGGCCGAGUGGCUGAAGGCGGCGGUUUGCUAAACCGUUAUACGUUUGAAAAGAUGUAUCGAGGGUUCGAAUCCCUCCGUCUCCGCCA
rnacentral:tRNA from 2 species